UGCCAGUUCUCUAAUGGUAUCUCCAGGGGCUGAGCCUAGAAACAACUAGUUGAAGAAGACAGACUGAGCACCCAUACUCUUUUGAGUCCUCCAGGAUGUUGGCAGUAGAGGAAUUUAAAUGGAUUUGAAUGGGCAAAGGACAAUUCAUAGACCAGCAAAGUAUCAUAGAGUGUUUCAAUUGAAGUUUGAGAGAUAAUCUUAUCCAGGCUUCUGCCUUCAUUCCAGAUAAACAAAAAUCUCUCCCCUUGAAGAUUUUCUAGCCUAUAACACGGAGGCUACAUCGGGGCAGUGGAGGCUCAGCAUAAGUUCUCCAAGAUCCCAUUUCCUUUCAUUCUCCUGGUGGGAAUGAAUGAACACACCGGAGAGACCCUCACUUCUACUUCCCUCAAUUAUGUGCUUCAUCGAGCACACAGCGGUGGACAUGUCAGCAGAACUCUGCAAGCAGGGAAAUCACAGAAUAGAAGAAGAAAAAAUUAAAAGACAUCAUUGGAACUUACAGAAGAAGGGCCAUGUGAAGACACAAAGAGAAGAUUGCCAUGUACAAACCAAGGAGACAGGACUCUGAAGAAACCAAAACUGCCAAUGACUUGAUCUUGGGCUUCUAGCCUUCAGAACCGUGAUAAAUAUUUUUGUUUAAGCCAGAAAUAAAAAGACAUAAUUGAUUUUUUUAAAAAGCCA
rnacentral:lncRNA from 1 species